rnacentral:rRNA from 1 species
GAGUUUGAUCCUGGCUCAGGAUGAACGCUAGCGGCAGGCCUAAUACAUGCAAGUCGAACGAUACCAGGGAGCUUGCUCUCUGGGAAAGUGGCGCACGAAGAUCGCGUAUGCAACCUACCUUUAUCAGGGGGAUAGCCUCUCGAUUGAGAGAUUAACACCGCAUAAAAUCAAAGAAUGGCAUCAUUCAAUGAUCAAAUAAGGAUAAAGAUGGGCAUGCGUGACAUUAGCUAGUUGGUCUCUUAACGGCUCACCAAGGCGACGAUGUCUAGGGGAUCUGAGAGGAUGACCCCCCACACUGGUACUGAGACACGGACCAGACUCCUACGGGAGGCAGCAGUAAGGAAUAUUGGUCAAUGGAGGCAACUCUGAACCAGCCAUGCCGCGUGCAGGAAGACGGCCCUAUGGGUUGUAAACUGCCCUAUUCGGGAAUAAACCCUUUUACGUGUAAGAGGUUGAAUGUACCGAAAGAAUAAGGAUCGGCUAACUCCGUGCCCAUGGCCGCGGUAAUACGGAGGAUCCAAGCGUUAUCCGGAUUUAUUGGGUAGAAAGGGUGCGUAGGCGGCUUAUUAAGUCAGGGGUGAAAGACGGUGGCUCAACCAUCGCAGUGCCUUUGAUACUGAUGAGCUUGAAUACACUUGAGGUAGGCGGAAUGUGACAAGUAGCGGUGAACCGCAUAGAUAUGUCACAGAACACCAAUUGCGAAGGCAGCUUACUAAGGUGCAAUUGACGCUGAGGCACGAAAGCGUGGGGAUCAAACAGGAUUAGAUACCCUGGUAGUCCACGCCCUAAACGAUGAAUACUCUCUGUUAGCGAUAUACAGUUAGCGUCUAAGCGAAAGCGUUAAGUAUUCCACCUGGGGAGUACGCCCGCAAGGGUGAAACUCAAAGGAAUUGACGGUACCCCGCACAAGCGGAGGAGCAUGUGGUUUAAUUCGAUGAUACGCGAGCUACCUUACCCGGGCUUGAAAGUUACUGAAUGAUUUAGAGAUAGAUCAGUCCGCAAGGACAGGAUUCUAGGUGCUGGAUGGCUGUCGUCAGCUCGUGCCACAAGGUGUUUAAGUCCCGCAACGAGCCUACCUAUGUUUAGUUGCCAGUCGCUAAUGGUGGCGACUCUAAACAGACUGCCUGUGCAGACAGAGAGGCAGGAGCCACGACGUCAAGUCAUCAUGGCCCUUACGUCCGGGGCUACACACGUGCUACAAUGGGCAGUACAGAGGGCAUAGCACUGGUAACAGGAUGCCAAUCUCAAAAAGCUGUUCACAGUUCGGAUUGAGGUCUGCACAUCGACCUCAUGAAGUUAGAUUCGCUAGUAAUCGCAGAUCAGCAGAGCUGCGGUGAAUACGUUCCUGCCCUUGUACACACCGCCCGUCAAGCCAUGAAACUUGGGGGUACCUGAAGUAUGUUACCGCAUCAGCGUCCUAGGGUAAAACCAAUAAUUGGCGCUAAGUCGUAACAAGGUAGACU